CCGGCCCUGAGGCGGGAGCCACGCUGCCGGUGGGGCCGCGGGGCUCAGCUGCGGCUGGAGGGGCAGAGUCUGGCGGGGCUCCCCGGGUUCUGGGCGGCUGCCGGGCACGGCCUCACUCUGAGGGGGGGCCGCGUGUUACCGCCAUACGAGUGUGGGGGCGCAGGCGUUUUCCCUCUGUGUGUGUGUGUGUGUAUAUAUGUAUGUAUGUAUAUGUGUAUGCAUAUGCACGCACAUGCCUUUUCCCUGUAUAUAUGCAUAUAUUUCUCCAGGGCAGGAGGUAUUGUAUGGGGUCUUGGGACGAGGGCAGCCCUUGUGCUCUUCAGCGGCACUUUCUCAGGGGAAAGCUGUGUGUAGGAGGGUGGCUGUGGAGUGGAGGGUAAUGGAGCAGUUGAUGUAACACAUAGUAAUAGAGAGGUAGGAUUUGAGAAUGAAAUUAAGCGCUCCCUCUCCAAGGGAGUCUUGACCCACUCUUUCCCUGGGCUAGCUCCUGCUCCUGCUUCUGCUUUUGGCUGGAGCACCUACCCCAUCAAUGUUUUGGUGGUAAAUGUCUCAGGCUGACACUUUAAGGCAGUCCACGGUGUGAAAUCGGUGCUGGGAUGAGUGAAUAGAGCUGCUGUGUUCCACUGAAACAGCUGUGCUUCAUUUUGAUAUGUUUAGCCUUGGGGCUAUAUAUAAAAAGUUAUGUUAUUGUACAAUACUAUUAAUAGUAUGUAAUUUUAGUAGAUCUAGUAAGCUUUCCUAGAUGUUCCUCUGCUAGCGUGCUAGUGAAUGUCUGUACCUCAGAAGGAAGUCUCAUAAAUGUAGAUAUAUCUGAUUUACAGAGCUAGCCUGACAAAGUCGCAUAAACAAUUAACUAGGAAAGAAAAUACCAAGGAUGAAUAUGGGCAGUGACCUAAUCUCAUGGUGGCUCAGCUGUUGUUAAAAAAGCCAAAGUGAAAGUACCUCUGUCAGAGCUGCUGCACUUUGUGACAGGUUGCCAUUAUGGGUUCGUUCCCCUCUUGCAUUUUUCUGUCAGCUUUUGUAAUUUGUCCAGGAUUUUCAAAUGUACAAUAAUCCAGAAAUCCUAGCCAAGCAGUCACAGUACAUGUUGACUCUGUUGAGUUCAAGAUGAAACUCGUAUGCAGAGCCGGUUGGGUUGGUGGAAUUAUAUCGCCCAAACAAUCUGUGUGUGCGUGGGGAGCAGACUCAUAUCCUGAAUGUGCUGAGUUUUUGUUGCUUUUUGAUUUUCUGAUACAGUUUGGUCUAGAAAGAUCUAAAGAGUCUUCUGUUAGACAGGGGAAGUUUCCUGGUAUUACAAAAUCUGGCUAAUAUCUGCUUCAUCCAGCAGUGGGGUUAUCCUGAGCCCCUACUUUCUUAGGUUGUUUAUAUGUUUGGAUGUUCAUACUGACCCUGGCAUCCCCUUAUACCCAGAGAAGCAUUUGUUUUCAUUUUCUCAAAAGCCACUAUUAGUGCACACCUUGGUCAUGCUGUGACACAGUCCUAAAGUAUUGUGUUUAUACCUGGACCUCACAACUUCUUAAAGGGAAGUGUAUCAGUUGUGUAAGCAGCUGCUACUGUCUCAGCUGCUGAGUGUGCAAUAUACUGAUUAUUGGAAGAUGAAGAAUAUGGAUUUCUGAGGUUUUGAGAAAACUGCAAGUCCAAUGAAAACCAGACUCCUUUCAGUCUGUUUCAUACUUCUUCAUACUGGUUCAUACUGGCUUCAUACUGCUGGAUGAAUUGUUUUAGUUCUCUAAACACUUGUAGAUCAAGGCAAGUAACACAUAAAGUCAACUGAAGUCAAGGAAAAGGCGUGAAUGAAAAGAAAGGGAGGUGUGAAAAUCUAUCACUGAUGGUCUUGAUACCUAGUUGCAAUCAUGAGCAUGGUCUCAGGCCAAAAGCUUAAAAUUUUGUUUCUUUUAAGGACACAUAUGCAUUGGGGAAGGUGAACUACAUCAGUACUUUUUAGAAAGAUGGCCAAGUGGGCGGUUUUACUUUAGGGGGUGGCAGUUGGUGAUCUCUGGUAAAUGUAACUGAAUAUUUGGCUUUUUAUGUUUCCCAGACCUCUCGAGGAUAUGUAUCAAGCAAAUGGCAGUUGCAGUCUUCUAUUUUUCAGUGGAGAGAUUUUUCUGUUACCUUUGUUAUAUUUUGUUGAUGAGUAUUAAGACAGCAGAGGAGAGCAUUCCAAUUAGAGUUGCUUGUAAGGUUCAUUUCCUUUCAGAAAUUGAUGUAGAAAUAUGUAUCUCAAAAAUAAUGAGCUCUUUCUUUGUGAAGGCAGAGUCAUCAUCAUUAUCAAAAUGUCACUGCUGUGAAGAUCAGGAGGGGUUUUAAGGAUGUGAUAAUUUUGAUAUUACUUUUUUUUCUUCUUCUUUCCUGACUGACACAGUCUUAAUUAGCUAUGAUUAGCUAUGUUAUGGACUGGGUAUUGGUUGUACAGCCCCAAAAUGCUUAUUCAACAAAUACGGGAGAAAAAGGAAAAUAAAAGCUGCACCUGCUGUGUUUGUCUUGAAGGAAAGCUGCUCUUGGGUUUAGAAGAAAAACCUAGAACCUGGGAAGCCCACAUUCAGGGUCUCAGUCGCCUCUCUCUAUCAUUGGAAAGCAGUUACACUGCUAAGAAGGUGAUCACUUAAAAGACUGUUGGAAACAUCUGGGUACCAUGGCCAGAGUGUGCAAAACCACUCAAACCUGAGACAGCUGCUACGGAGCUCUUUGUCACACCUGUCCUAGGGCGCAGAGCUCUGUUUUUUCGAAGAGACAGCAGUAAGUCUGAUGCAAAAUACAGACAAAGUCUACCUGGACAGCUUAACAGACCUGAGACUUAGCCCUAAUAAGACGCGCUGGCCGUGGAGGGGGUGGAAAGAGCGGUGCGUCCGUCCCGAUCGCAUCCCGCCGGAGCCGCUCCGGGGCGUGCUGUGCGAACGUGCUCAGACACACUCUGACACACCGUAGUAGGUGGAUACUCACAAACACACACACACACGCACAGAGCCUGACAGCUUCUGCAGCGUCGCCGAGGACAGAGAGGCGGGAGAGGUCCUUUGUAUGGAGUUCCGAGGGGUUUAUUCAGGUCCCCGCCCUAAGGGAUCCAAGAACAAAGAACACUGAGCGGUCCAGGGUUUUAUCUGGAUCGGCACCGAGGGCCUAUCCUUUGGGGGCCAGGGGGUGGAGAGGGCAUGGGGUAACAGGACAGUGACCAGUGGAAAAGGCGAGGGGUGGAACAAGGGACCUGGGAACCAGUGGGGUAUCAAGGAAAGGAGAGCUAUCUAGAACAUGGACUUAAAAGGGGUAAAGAGGGGGUGAUCUUAGACCUCUGAGCCUGCCCACCAGCGGACCUCCACUGUUUUGGGGCUCUGUGGCUUCUUGGUCCUUCCUGCAGUGGAUUCAACCACUGCAACACUAAUAUCUGCAUAUCGUAAUGAAAAUUUAUCUAACAUAUACAGAAUUUUACAGCUUAGAAUUUGGACACAUUUUCAUGAAUACAGACAAAGGCACAGAUAUAUUAUCCUGGCUACUCUUUGUCCAGCUCCUUUAAAAUUACUCUGCAGUUGUAGGAGUUUUUUAAGAGGAGUGAACCAGCAUUAUUUCCCACUAACUUAAUUUAGAAAAAAGCUAAGUGAUUUCUUCUUUUCAACAACCUUGUGCUGUUUUUUCAGUAUAUGCAAUUUUUUUUUAAGUUGGUUAAAAUGUCUCACUUUAAGCGAUUGAAGAUUGAUUCUAGAAAACAGUGGUGGAACAUGUUGGAUGGUACCUACAACUGGAAUGCCUACAACAAAAAAGGUUCCCUUCUAGAUUAAGCACAGGAAUAUGUUUCUGCCAAGUCUGACUCUAUUUUGUCCUUGUUAAAUAUUGUCCUGUAAAUAUGAAGUUAUGUCAUUUCAGUUUGUGGGAACCCACUGUGAUUAAAGAUCUUGAUUCCACCUUUAGAACUGAUUGUGAGUCAUCAGCCUGUGUAUUGGAAAGUGUCUGGAUGUGUGCUAUUCAUAGGCAACCUGCAGGAAUUAAAAGGAGUGGAAUUUGCCUGGAUAACUGUUGGGGUGUUAGUUU